ACAGGGUCUUGCUCUGUCACCCAGGCUGGAGCACAGUGGCACAAUCAUGCUUCACUGCAGCCUCGACCUCCCAGGCUCAAGCAGUUCUCCCACCUCAGUCUCCUGAGUAGCUGGAAUACAGGAAAGAAAAUGAAGUGGUUGAAAACAAAGUUAGAGCUGAAGAGUUAAGUUUCUGGUGCCUGCGUUGGAGAGUUUUGCUGAUUGAUCCUGUCAUUUUUAAACAAUAUAUGCUACCAAAAAAGAAAGUCUUCUAAGCCCCAGGGUCCAGUGCUGCUCCCAGACUUUUCUGUGAAGAGCUGCAGUGCUGUCAUUGGAGUCAGUUUGGGUGAGACUAUCAAUCAAGGUGCUCCUCUUUGCUAGCAAAGGUGUGUGGCAAAUAGAUGAUGCUCUGUUCCUGGAAUUCCAAUGAAGUGUCACAGAGUUUUCAGUUUAAUCCGCCCUGUGACUGCGUGAUGAUUCCUGCGACCUCUGACCCUGGGGCUGUCCGAGCUCCUCUCUCCCAACCCCUGACUCCUCUGCUGAUGUUUUCACUCUAGGAGUUACCCUGUGUCCUUCCAAUAUGCUCUUUUUUAUUUUUUAAUUCUGUAUCACUAGAUCAGUUUUUUUUUUUUUUUGCUGAUUAUAUUUAAAUAAUCCUGUGUCACUUUGCGUGUCAUGGAUAUUUUUGCUUCAGAAAAAUUAACAUCUUAACUUAAAACAUAAAUUGUUUUAAAGAAAGAAAUCUGAAUACAUAAUUGUACAGAUAAUACUCAGAUGUAGCCAAAAUUGUGAGGAUUGGCAAAUGGCUAAUGAUUGGGAAACAAUAAAAACUGCCGUUAACAAUUA